GACGAACCGUGCGAACGUUGUUCGGAAUCACUGGGCUUAAAGGGCGCGUAGGCGGACCGCCAAGUCCGUGGUGAAAUCCUCCAGCUCAACUGGAGAACUGCCGCGGAUACUGGAGGUCUCGAGGGAGGUAGGGGCAAGCGGAACUGUGGGUGGAGCGGUGAAAUGCGUUGAUAUCCACAGGAACUCCGGUGGCGAAGGCGGCUUGCUGGACCUUUUCUGACGCUGAUGCGCGAAAGCCAGGGGAGCAAACGGG
rnacentral:rRNA from 1 species